rnacentral:rRNA from 1 species
AGCGAACGCUGGCGGCAGGCUUAACACAUGCAAGUCGAGCGGGCCCUUCGGGGUCAGCGGCAGACGGGUGAGUAACGCGUGGGAACGUACCCUUUGGUUCGGAAUAACUCAGGGAAACUUGAGCUAAUACCGGAUACGCCCUUUUUGGGGAAAGGCUUGCUGCCGAAGGAUCGGCCCGCGUCUGAUUAGCUUGUUGGUGAGGUUAAGGCUCACCAAGGCGACGAUCAGUAGCUGGGCUGAGAGAAUGAUCAGCCACACUGGGACUGAGACACGACCCAGACUCGUACGGGAGGCAGCAGUGGUGAAUAUUGGACCAUGGGGGCAACCCUGAUCCAGCCAUGCCGCGUGAGUGAUGACGGCCUUAGGGUUGUAAAGCUCUUUUCUCCGGGACGAUAAUGACGGUACCGGAGGAAUAAGCCCCGGCUAACUUCGUGCCAGCAGCCGCAGUAA